rnacentral:hammerhead_ribozyme from 1 species
AUCCAGCUGAUGAAUUACAAAUAGAACGAAACGCGUGUCCUGGAC